rnacentral:rRNA from 1 species
CCUACGGGUGGCAGCAGUGAGGAAUAUUGGUCAAUGGCCGGAAGGCUGAACCAGCCAUGCCGCGUGAAGGUCAGUGCCCUAUGGGCGUUAAACUUCUUUUGUGCGGGAGCAAUAAUGGUCACGUGUGGCCAGACGAGAGUACCGUACGAAUAAGCAUCGGCUAACUCCGUGCCAGCAGCCGCGAUAAUACGGGGGAUGCAAGCGUUAUCCGGAUUUAUUGGGGUUAAGGGGUGCGUAGGCUGUGAGGUAAGUCAGCGGUGAAAUGCCCCCGCUCAACGGGGUGAAGUGCCAUUGAUACUGCCUUGCUGGAAUGCGGAUGCCGUGGGAGGAAUGUGUGGUGUAGCGGUGAAAUGCAUAGAUAUCACACAGAACACCGAUUGCGAAGGCAUCUCACGAAUCCGCGAUUGACGCUGAUGCACGAAAGCGUGGGUAUCAAACAGGAUUAGAUACCCCUGUAGUC